UCUUGUCAAGAUCUCUCUCUGUGACCUGCGUGAGAUUUAUCAUAUAUGAAAACCGCAUCACAGUCUGAGUUCUUGCUGAGCG
rnacentral:pre_miRNA from 1 species